CCAGAAAGCUCAUUAGGCUGACUUGAUUUACCUUCAGCAGAAAGGUAUUAGGUUGGUGCAAAAGUAAUUGCAGUUUUUGCCAUUCUUUUUUCUUUUUUUUUUUAAUGGCUGCCACCUCUAUCACAAUCAGGAAAGUCACUGUAGAGUGUCAGGCAGCUUCCACAGGAACUGUUGGCUUCAGGAGGGCACCACUGUGUGAGCCAGGAAUCAGGAGUGGGCUGCCACUAGGACUUGUAGCUGUAUAUGCACUCCACGCAUGCUAGACGGGCAUUGGCAAGACAUGGUGUCUUGUUCCUCUUCUCUCACUAUCAUAAAGCUGGUACCUGGAUGUAGAAUGCUGCUUCUGCA
rnacentral:lncRNA from 1 species